AUUAAUAUUAUUAUAAAAGAAAUGUCUACCAUAUUCACAUAACAUCUAUUGAUAGCGUCAUUUCAAAAGUACCCUCAAUUCUUUACUUUAAUUAAAGAGAGAAACUAAUAAUAAUUUAAGUUCAGCAAAAGCGUCUAUUAAAUGGAUGUAAAUAAAAAAAGGAUGUACUCAGUGCCCAACGUACUGAUGUUCGUAAGGAAUCAUUUGAGGUUGUAAAGUUUUAUGCAUUCUGGCAAAAUGCGCUCUCAUUAUCUUUUUCGUGGUGAACGAUUUAUCACAAGCUUCACACUUAAAAUUCUUUUCCCCGCUAUGUUUGUACAUGUGAUUUUUCAAUCGAUAGCUAUUAAACGCUUUCCAUCCACAAACACCGCAAAUAUGGUUUCUGACUCUUAAAUGCGUAUCACGCAGAUGCGUCAUCAUCAUACUUCGAAACACAAACGUCUUGGGGCAAUGUAGGCAUUUUAUUUCCUGCCUAUUCUUGUGUUCGGUGGCCAUAUGUCUAGAACGCUUGUAGUGGCUUUGAAAAGUUUGAGAACAGACGAGGCACUUGUAUUUUUUGUCCAAAUCGUGUUGAUUCUUCUGGUGAGUCUUCAAUUUUGAUCGAGUCUCAAAUUUCUCGCCACAUUCGGGACAAAGUAAUCCAGUAUUCUCAUGAACUGUCUUGACGUGCAAGCGCAGCAAAUUACCGUCUUUGAAAUGCUGUCCACACACAUCACAAAGAAUUGCCGACGUCCCUUUAUGAUCUUUAUUAGUAUGGUGCAGUAAUGGACCGAAUAAUUUAUCUCCACAUAUCGGACACUCGACGUUCUUCUCUCGGAGAUGGACCCUCCUCAUGUGCCGCGACAUUAUACUCUCCUGCGGGUACACCCUUGGACAGUACGGACAUUUGAUCUUCAACUCCUCAACACCGUGUACAUUCGCUAGAUGCAAUUUCUUGAUGUACGGACUUUUGAACGUUUCCGGACAGUGAGGACAAGUCGACAAAUUGACCAUAUGGACGUUCUUUUCGUGCAGAGUUUUCUUAGAUAGCGUCGAUAGGCUUAUUCCACAAUGAUCACAGGUAUACCCUCCAGCUCUGUGGUAAUACCUGUUGUGCAUUUUCAAAUGGAUCUCUCCUUGAAAACUGGUUCCGCAAACGUCACAAGUGUAAUCGUGAGAUAAGUGGUAUUUGUUCGCGUGGCGGAGAAGAUAUUCGAAGAAAACGAAC
rnacentral:misc_RNA from 1 species